rnacentral:lncRNA from 1 species
AUUCUUUUGAUCAUCAGAACAAUAUCGUACAUCAAAUAUCUUCUCCAAUCGCAUCAUCUAUUUUUUUUUCUGCUACAAAUGUAUUAGGUUCACCACGCUUUUAUUGCGCCACUCUGAUUUAAUAUCCCCGAUCAACCCUUUUAUCGCACUUAAUUAAUCAAAAGCAGAUGAAGUAGGAGGACUAAAUGUCCUCAUCAUCCUAGAUUCCUAAAAUGCAUCAAAGAAAAUUUUCACCAAUCACUAUAGUUCAC